rnacentral:rRNA from 1 species
GACGAACGCUGGCGGCGUGCUUAACACAUGCAAGUCGAACGGAAAGGCCCUGCUUUUGUGGGGUGCUCGAGUGGCGAACGGGUGAGUAACACGUGAGUAACCUGCCCUUGACUUUGGGAUAACUUCAGGAAACUGGGGCUAAUACCGGAUAGGAGCUCCUGCUGCAUGGUGGGGGUUGGAAAGUUUCGGCGGUUGGGGAUGGACUCGCGGCUUAUCAGCUUGUUGGUGGGGUAGUGGCUUACCAAGGCUUUGACGGGUAGCCGGCCUGAGAGGGUGACCGGCCACAUUGGGACUGAGAUACGGCCCAGACUCCUACGGGAGGCAGCAGCGGGGAAUAUUGCACAAUGGGCGGAAGCCUGAUGCAGCAACGCCGCGUGCGGGAUGACGGCCUUCGGGUUGUAAACCGCUUUCGCCUGUGACGAAGCGUGAGUGACGGCAAUGGGUAAAGAAGCACCGGCUAACUACGUG